UGGAGAGUUUGAUCCUGGCUCAGAGCGAACGCUGGCGGCAGGCCUAACACAUGCAAGUCGAACGAACUCUUCGGAGUUAGUGGCGGACGGGUGAGUAACACGUGGGAACGUGCCUUUUGGUUCGGAAUAACUCAGGGAAACUUGUGCUAAUACCGAAUGUGCCCUUCGGGGGAAAGAUUUAUCGCCAUUAGAGCGGCCCGCGUCUGAUUAGCUAGUUGGUGAGGUAACGGCUCACCAAGGCGACGAUCAGUAGCUGGUCUGAGAGGAUGACCAGCCACACUGGGACUGAGACACGGCCCAGACUCCUACGGGAGGCAGCAGUGGGGAAUCUUGCGCAAUGGGCGAAAGCCUGACGCAGCCAUGCCGCGUGAAUGAUGAAGGUCUUAGGAUUGUAAAAUUCUUUCACCGGGGACGAUAAUGACGGUACCCGGAGAAGAAGCCCCGGCUAACUUCGUGCCAGCAGCCGCGGUA
rnacentral:rRNA from 1 species